UUAGUUUCUUAAUUGGGAAAUAGGAUGAAUGGUUUCACUAAAAUAUAGUUUUUAUCCUCAUUUGCGAAAUUUUAAUCUAAGUGAAAAUACUUAGCAGUUGUACUAGGACGAGAAGACCCUAUGAAGCUGGCAAACUAUUAAUAUAUAUUCCUAUUAUUUAUUAGUUUAUUUUUUGGGGUAAAAUUUAAUAAUACUAUUAACACAAUUGUACUAAAUUACAUCCUUUAGGAAUUAUGAAGAAGCUCCUCUAGGGAUAACAGCAUUAUGCUUAAAAGAGUUCUUAUCAGAAUAAGCGUUUGUGACCUCGAUGUUGAAUUAAAUGCUCUUUUAUGUGCAGGAGCUUAGAAGAG
rnacentral:rRNA from 1 species